GCCACUCAGCUAGGUUGUGACCGAGUGAUGAUAGAAACAGAUUGUGUGCAGCUCAAGAAUGCAACAACUACUGAAGAUUUUGAUCUUUCAGCAUUAGGGGCUAUUUUCAAAGAUAUUAAAGUACAACUACGUGUAGGUUUUGUUGAUGUAUGUGUGGUAUCUUGUCCUAGGACUUGUAAUGGAGUUGCACACAUGUUAGCUGCGCAUGGUGCUAACCUGGGAGCCAGUUUGUGUGAGAUCUGGCUUGGACAUGUCCCAAACUUUGUAGAAGAUGCUGUUGCUCGCGAUUUGUCCAACCCUGUUGUGUAA
rnacentral:rRNA from 1 species